AUUUUUAUAUUCAUAACCGAUGCAGCAAGUCCAGAGGCGCCGGGGCUCUGAACCGCCAGGCCCAGAGGUGCUGGGGCUCUGAACUGCCAGGCCCAGAGGUGCCAGGGGGCUCUGAACCGCCAGGCCCAGAGGUGCCAGGGGGCUCUGAACCGCCAGGCCCAGAGGUGCUGGGGCUCUGAACCGCCAGGCCCAGAGGUGCCAGGGGGCUCUGAACUGCCAGGCCCAGAGGUGCCAGGGGGCUCUGAACCGCCAGGCCCAGAGGUGCUGGGGCUCUGAACUGCCAGGCCCAGAGGUGCCAGGGGGCUCUGAACUGCCAGGCCCAGAGGUGCUGGGCUCUGAACUGCCAGGCCCAGAGGUGCUGGGGCUCUGAACCGCCAGGCCCAGAGGUGCUGGGGCUCUGAACUGCCAGGCCCAGAGGUGCCAGGGCUACGAACUGCCAGGCCUAGAAGUGUCGAGGCUACGAACUGCCAGACCCAGAGGUGCUGGGCUCUGAACUGUCAGGCCCAGAGGUGCUCGGGCUACAAACU